rnacentral:rRNA from 1 species
UACGUAGGUGGCAAGCGUUGUUCGGAAUUAUUGGGCGUAAAGGGCGCGUAGGCGGUUUGCUAAGUCAGUUGUGAAAGCCCGGGGCUCAACCCCGGAGGGUCGGCUGAUACUGGUGGACUAGAGUACGGAAGAGGUAGCUGGAAUUCCCGGUGUAGCGGUGAAAUGCGUAGAUAUCGGGAGGAACAUCAGUGGCGAAAGCGGCUUCCUAGACCAGUACCGACGUUCAGGCACGAAAGCGUGGGGAGCAAACAGG